GAUGCUCUCCGGCAGCGGCGGCCGCGGUGCCCGGGCGGCGAGGGCAUGGCGGCCCCGGAUAGCUGCGUGAAGGUGGCCGUGAGGAUCCGUCCCCAGCUGCCCAAAGAGAAGAUAGAAGGAUGUCACAUCUGCACCUCAGUGACGCCUGGUGAGCCCCAGGUGCUGCUGGGGAAGGACAAGGCCUUCACCUAUGACUUUGUCUUUGACCUGGACACAUGGCAGGAGCAGAUCUAUACCACAUGUGUAGGCAAGCUCAUCGAAGGCUGCUUCGAGGGCUACAAUGCCACCGUGCUGGCAUAUGGCCAGACUGGUGCAGGGAAGACCUACACCAUGGGCACUGGCUUUGACAUGAACAUCUGUGAGGACGAGCAGGGCAUCAUCCCGCGGGCCAUUGGCCACCUCUUCAGCGGCAUCGAGGAGCGCAAGCGGGCAGCACAGAGCCAGGGCCUGGCAGCACCCGAGUUCAAAGUCAGUGCCCAGUUCCUGGAGCUCUACAACGAGGAGAUCCUGGACCUGUUUGACAGUGCCCGCGACCCCGACGCGCGCCACCGCAAGUCCAACAUCAAAAUCCACGAGGAUGCCAGUGGCAGCAUCUACACCACGGGGGUCACCUCCCGCCUCAUCAGCUCGCAGGAUGAGCUGAUCCAGUGCCUGAAGCAGGGAGCCCUUUCCCGCACCACCGCCAGCACGCAGAUGAACGUGCAGAGCUCCCGCUCCCAUGCCAUCUUCACCAUUCACCUGUGCCAGAUGAGAGUGUGCCCCCGCCCAGAGCUGGUGAAUGUGGAGGUGCCCAGCCCCCUGGAUGGAGCCCAGACCACCACUGAGUACGAGACGCUCACAGCCAAGUUUCAUUUUGUAGACCUGGCUGGCUCAGAGAGGCUGAAGCGAACAGGUGCCACUGGCGAGAGAGCCAAGGAGGGCAUCUCCAUCAACUGUGGGCUGCUGGCCCUGGGGAAUGUCAUCAGUGCCCUUGGAGACCAGAGCAAGAAAGUUGUCCACGUUCCCUACCGCGACUCCAAGCUCACUCGCCUGCUGCAGGAUUCCCUUGGGGGCAACAGCCAAACCAUCAUGAUUGCCUGUGUGAGCCCCUCAGACCGGGACUUCAUGGAGACCCUGAACACACUCAAGUAUGCCAACCGGGCAAGGAACAUCAAGAACAAGGUGGUGGUGAACCAGGACAAGACAAGCCAGCAGAUCAGUGCCCUGCGGGCGGAGAUUGCCCGCCUGCAGAUGGAGCUGAUGGAGUACAAGGCGGGCAAGCGGGUGCUGGCAGAGGACGGCUCGGAGGGGUACAGUGACCUGUUCCGCGAGAACACUCUGCUGCAGAAGGAGAACAGUGCCCUGCGCAUGCGCCUCAAGGCCAUGCAGGAGGCCAUCGACGCCAUCAACAGCAGGGUCACACACCUCAUGAGCCAGGAGGCCAACCUGAUGCUGGCCAAGGCGGGGGAUGGCAAUGAAGCCAUUGGCACCCUCAUCCAGAACUACAUCCGGGAGAUUGAGGAGCUGAGAACCAAGCUCCUGGAGAGCGAGUCCAUGAAUGAGUCUCUGCGCCGCAGCCUCUCGCGGGUCUCUGCCCGGCCGCCCUACGCCCUGGGGCUGUCGCCGGCGCCAGCCCUGCCCGGCCUGUGCAGCCCUGCAGCGCUGGACACCGAGGCCUCUGACGUCCUGCGGCGUGCCAAGCAGGAUCUGGAGCGCCUCAAAAAGAAGGAGAGGAGGCAGCAGAGGAAAAGCCCUGAGAAAGAAGCAUUUAAGAAACGACAGAAACUGCAGCAGGACAAUGGGGAGGAGACUGAUGAGAACGAGGUAGAGGAGGAGGAGGAUGAGGAACAGGAUGAGAGUGGCUGUGAGGAAGAGGAUGGGCAUGAUGAUGAAGAUGAGGACUCAGGCAGUGAAGAGAGUCUGGUGGACUCAGACUCAGAUGCAGAGGAGAAGGCCGUCAAUUUCCAGGCGGACCUGGCGGAUCUGACUUGCGAGAUCGAGAUCAAGCAGAAGCUGAUUGAUGAGCUGGAGAACAGCCAGCGGCGGCUGCAGACCCUCAAGCAUCAGUACGAGGAGAAGUUGAUCCUGCUGCAGAACAAGAUCCGGGACACACAGCUGGAGCGGGACCGUGUCCUGCAGAACCUCAGCACCAUGGAGUGCUACACUGAGGAGAAAGCCAACAAGAUCAAAGCAGACUAUGAGAAGCGGCUGAAGGAGAUGAACAGGGACCUGCAGAAGCUUCAGGCAGCCCAGAAGGAGCAUGCCCGGCUGCUCAAGAACCAGUCGCGCUACGAGCGCGAGCUGAGGAAGCUGCAGGCGGAGGUGGCUGAGAUGAAGAAGGCCAAGGUGGCACUGAUGAAGCAGAUGCGGGAGGAGCAGCAGCGCAGGCGGCUGGCAGAGACCAAGCGGAACCGGGAGAUCGCCCAGCUCAGGAAGGAGCAGCGGCGGCAGGAGUUUCAGAUCCGGGCUCUGGAGUCUCAGAAGCGACAGCAGGAAAUAGUGCUGCGGAGGAAAACCCAAGAGGUGUCGGCGCUGCGCCGCCUGGCCAAGCCCAUGUCGGAGCGCGCCGCGGGCAGAAGCGGCCAGAAGGCAGCCAUGCUGGACUCGGGUGCUGAGGUCUCUGCCAGCACCACCUCCUCCGAGCCCGAGUCCAGCGCUCGCUCCGUGUCCAGCAUCGUGCGCCAGUGGAACAGGAAGAUCAACAACUUCCUGGGAGAGCCUUCGCCCUCUGCCAGUGGAGCUCGACCCACCAGGAAGAAGUUCCCCAAGAAGGGGACGAGCCAGACCUUCAACAAAGCUGCCAGGCUGAAGUGGCAGUCGCUGGAGCGCCGCAUCUUUGACAUCGUCAUGCAGAGGAUGACCAUUGUCAACCUAGAGGCUGACAUGGAGCGGCUCAUCAAGAAACGCGAGGAGCUGGCACUGCUGCAGGAAGCACUGCUGGGCAAGAGGGCGAAGCUGCAGGCAGAGAGCCCCAUGGAGCAGAAGGGGCUGCAGGAGCUGAAUGAGGAGAUCGAGGUGCUGGGGGCCAACAUUGACUAUAUCAAUGACAGCAUUUCUGACUGCCAGGCCACCAUCAUGCAGAUUGAGGAGACCAAGGAGGAGCUGGACUCCACGGACACCUCGGUGGUGAUCAGCUCCUGCUCCCUGGCUGAAGCCCGGCUCCUGCUGGACAACUUCCUGAAGGCCUCCAUCGACAAGGGGCUGCAGGUGGCACAGAAGGAGGCCCAGAUCCGCCUGCUGGAGGGGCGGCUGCGGCAGACAGACACCAGCAGCUCCUCGCAGAACCAUGCCCUGCUGGACGCCCUGCGUGAGAAGGCUGAGUCCCACCCUGAGCUGCAGGCCCUGAUCCACAAUGUCCAGCAAGAGAAUGGCUACACCAGCACGGAUGAGGAGGUCUCAGAGUUCAGCCUGGCUUCAGAUGGGAGCAUCUCCCAGUCUUUCACCAUGAAGGGCUCAGCCAGCCAGGAUGACUUCAAGUUCAAGGGAGAGCCCAAGCUCUCGGGGCAGAUGAAGGCAGUGUCAGCUGAGUGUCUAGGACCCACACUGGAUGUCUCUACCAAGAACAUCACCAAGUCCUUGGCAUCCCUCAUGGAGAUCAAAGAGGAUGGAAUCAGCUUCUCCGUCCGAGAUCCCUAUUACAAGGAGAAGGUGUCACGGACCAUCAGCCUGCCCACGCGAGGAAGCACCUUUCCCAGGCAGUCUCGUGGCUCAGACACUUCUCCUCUGACCAGGAGGAAAUCCUACGACCGUGGGCAGCCUGCCAGGCCUCCUGACGUUGGCUUCACACCUCCCUCCUCCCCACCCACGCGGCCCCGCAACGACCGCAACGUCUUCUCUCGCCUCACCAGCAACCAGAGCCAGGGCUCUGCCCUGGACAAGUCUGAUGACAGCGAUUCCUCUGUCUCGGAGGUGCUGAGGGGCAUCAUUAACCCUGUGGGUGGCACCAAGAACGCCCGGACGGCCCCGCUGCAGUGUGUCUCCGUGGCAGAGGGACACACCAAGCCUGUGCUCUGUCUGGAUGCCACUGAUGAGCUGCUCUUCACUGGCUCCAAAGACCGGAGCUGCAAGAUGUGGAACCUGGUGACAGGCCAAGAAAUUGCUUCCCUGAAGGGUCACCCAAACAAUGUGGUCUCCAUCAAGUACUGCAGCCACACAGGGCUGGUGUUCACCGUCUCCACCUCCUACAUCAAGGUGUGGGACAUCCGCGACUCGGCACGCUGCAUCCGCACCCUCACCUCCUCAGGGCAGGUGAUGUCCGGGGAUGCGUGCGCCGGGGCCGGCAGCCGCUCCGUGGCCAGCGCGCAGGGCGAGCACCACAUCAACCAAAUCGCUCUCAACCCCUCCGGCACCACGCUCUACGCCGCCAGCGGCAAUGCCGUCCGCGUCUGGGAGCUGAGCAGGCUGCAGGCUGUGGGGAAGCUGAGUGGCCACAUCGGGCCUGUGAUGUGUCUGACAGUGAACCAGACAGCCAGCAGCCACGACCUGGUGGUCACAGGCUCCAAGGAUCACUAUGUCAAGGUAUUUGAGAUUGCUGAGGGCAUGGUGGGCAACAUUGGCCCCACUCACAACUUCGAGCCCCCCCACUAUGAUGGCAUUGAGUGCCUGGCCAUCCAGGGAGAUGUCCUCUUCAGUGGCUCCAGGGACAACGGCAUAAAGAAGUGGGAUCUGGAGCAGCAGGAACUCAUCCAGCAAAUCCCCAAUGCCCACAAAGACUGGGUCUGUGCCCUGGCCUUCAUCCCUGGCCGCCCCAUGGUGCUGAGUGCUUGCCGAGGAGGAAUGAUCAAAGUCUGGAAUGUGGACACCUUCACCCCGGUUGGGGAGAUCAAAGGGCAUGACAGCCCCAUCAAUGCCAUCUGCACCAACUCAAAGCACAUCUUCACUGCCUCCAGUGACUGCCGGGUAAAGUUGUGGAGUUACGUGCCUGGGCUCACCCCUUGCCUUCCACGACGCGUCCUUGCCAUCAAGGGCCGUGCUACUAGCCUGCCUUGACCCUCCUUUCUGCCUCUUGCUCAUGCACUCUUCUGCCUUUCCCUUUAUUUCUCUCCAUCUCUUUCUCCCUCUGUCCUUCUCUCUGUUGCUUGCUUUUUCUCCUCUCUCUUUCUUUCUCUCUGGUCUGAGCUGCUGCUUCACGCGACCUGACAGUGAAGCUCUGGAGCGGGAGGAGGUUGCCUGUGGGGUCAAACUAGGACCUGCAAACAGACUGGAAGCCAUGGGAGGACAGUGAAGGUUGGGGUACCUCUCCCUCACUGUCAAGACCUGGUGACGCACAGCUCGGCCCAGGGACAGGGAUUUCUUUGUGCCUGACCCAAGAAGUGGACAAUGUCCCAGCCAAUGCUUCCAACAGUGAGGACAGAGCUCCAUGGGCACUGUCAGCUCCACCUUCCCUCCUGCUGAGGUUUCUUGAUGGUUUUCCAGUGACCAAGAAAUGUUUUGUCUCUCUUCUCACCCACUCUGCUUAACACCUGCCAGGACUUUGGGCGUCAGAGCUCCUUGGCUGCUUCUCAGAGACACUUAGUUCCCUCUUGAGACUUUGAGCUCCUGUGGCCUACACCGUGAUGUGCUGCUUCUGUCCCUCUGGGGUUGGCUCUUGCAAGGAUCUUUGUCCACUCCACAGCCAGGAGGACAAUUGGUGUCUGCUGGACAGGACCACAGCAUAGAGGAGCUCCUUCUUUGGAGAUGCAGCUGGAGGCACAGCAAACCUGGGAAGAUCUCCAGCUUGCAGAUAACCUUCUGCAGCUCCCUUCAACCUUCUCCAAGCCCCAGCUACAAACUCAGCUGACCCACAGCUCCUGGGCUCUCCCCCAUUUGCCCACCCUGCUCUGCCCUGGGGAGGGGCAGGGCUGCCCUUGGCACACGUGCCCCCAGCAGAGGCUCUCUGUUGGGUGUAGGAGAAGGGUUGUUUUCAUCUAUAUUACAACAGGUGGGUUCCUGCAGCAGUUAACAAAGCAAGAACAGAGGGCUCAGGGCCCUGCAGCCAGGGCUGGACUUGUCAUACCCACUCCUGUGCCCAUCUUGUUUUGCCAUCACUGGGUGCUGGAAGCUGUAAAUCCUUCCCCAGGCUCUACUCAUAGCCCUAGCCCUGGGAGGGGCCUAGCUCAGGUUUGAUCCCCCAUGGAUCCAGGAGCCAGAGAGGACUCAGCAAGGCAAAGAACAGCUGGAGGAUGGCCCAGGCUGGAGUCUGCUGUGCUGGGAGCAGCUUGAGGAAGGGCUGGCACACCCUGGUCCCACACAAGUGCCCUGACUUAUGGGGCACCACAGCCACCAGAGGAAUGCACAGAUGUGGGGGGCUGCAGGAGGUGUUACCCCCCCAAGCCUGUGUCCUGUUUCCCUCCCCAUUCUUCAGCUGAUUGAAUCUUUGACCAGAGGGGUGGGAGGGUGGAAGAAGGGGGAGGUGCACCAUGGGCAUCAGUGUCUGCACCAAGACCUGCCAGUGCCUGACCUGCACCCUCUUUGCUGUUCCCUGCUGAAGUCAGUGAAGGCACCUGCUCUGGAGAGGCUCAGGGUCAGCCCUGCCCUGCCUUCUGCUGCCAGUUCCUUCCUGAGUGUAGGCUGCAAGUGGUAGGCUGCAGUAGGCUGCUUCAUUGCCCAGGCCUGAGUGACCAGUCCUGGAUGAUGCUGAGCAUCCACCUCACUGCUACAUCCAGCAGCACCUUGAGGGGUCUUCAAGGCUUCUGCAGCCUGCAGAUGGAGGGAGCUGAGUGCUGGGGCACAGCAGCAAGUGUCCAGAGGUGUGAGUCCUUGGUGUGAGGGGUGACUGUAGUCCCAUAGCUCUGUGUGUGUGUGUGUCCUAGUGUCUGUGUGGGUUGGUACUUCCCAUGCAGGAGAGCAUUUCUUGCAUGUUGAUGUGGUUUAGCUACCUCAUGGUACAAGCUGGGUGCUGUUAUCAUUAGGUUUUGUGGGGAGUUUGUGGGGUCAGUUUUUUCUGCUCUUAAUUAUUGUUAUUAUUAUCAUUUUGCCACUUGAAUUCAUCCUGGGGACAUGUGGCCUCACCCCCAUCUUGCUGCAUGUCUGAGCCACCCCUCGUGUCCCCCCCCCCUGCCUCCUCCUGGGCAGCACAGCAGGACCAGCUUUCUGCUCUCCAGCUCUCAGCUCUGCAGUGGGACCCCCCCAGCUGAGGCACUACACUGAGAGCUGGCUCCUGCUGCUGGAACCUCAGGCUGAGGCUUGCCCUUCUUGCUGUAGUUAUUAGGUUGAUUUGCAGCCUGGUAGUGAUCCCUCUUGUCCCUUUGUAGGAUGGAAAGGGACCUCUGAAAGGCUCAGCUCAGACUCUGCUCUCACAGAUACUCUGUAGGUGCAAUGAAGCUCUUGUGCAGGAAAUGUCCAUGCAGUGCUGGCUGGGCCUGGUGCAGCAGGGAGCUGGUGCUGCGCAAGUCUCUGUCCAGGAUGGGAAGUGGCCUGUGAGAGAAGCUGAUUCUCAUCUCUGAUGCUUGAUUUUUCACCCCUAAAACAUAGCUGAAUCUAGACCCUGUCCCAGACACUGAACAUAAACCAGGGUGACCCGGGAGCCCCCAGAUGACCCUCUCUGCUGGGGCUGGGAAGCUGGCACAGGCUCCUUCCCCACUCCUUUGGCACACUGGAGUCUGAGCAAGGGCACAGCUCUGAGCCAUGCUGCCAUUCUGCGAGGCCAGGUUCCCUCAAAGACCAAAGCACAAGCUCCCAACAUGCUGGUGGUGGAGCCAGGGUGGCCCCUUGGACUCUAGUCCUUCAGGGCUCAGAGUGGGGCCAUAGGCUUGGAUACCCAAGGUGGGUGUGGAGCUUGGGAUGACAGUGAAGAUGGGCUGCCUGCUGCAGAAAGUAGGAGAAGCUGUUUCAUCCCUUUGCACUGUGCUGGGGCACUCCACCAGGGCUCA